CAGAGUUGCAAAACUCCCACAAACCAUCGCGAAUCUUACCCGUACGGUUGCCUCGGCGCUGGCGGUCCGGAAGGCCCUCGGGCCCCCCGGAUCCUCGGGUCUCCCGCUCGCGGGAGGCUGCCCGCCGGAGUGCCGAAACCAAACUCUUGAUAUUUAUGUCUCUCUGAGUAAACUUUUAAAUAAGUCA
rnacentral:misc_RNA from 1 species